GGCCCCAUCGUCUAGUGGCUCGGACAAGUGGCUUUCAAUCACUAAACACGGGUUCGAUUCCCGUUGGGGCCA
rnacentral:tRNA from 1 species